rnacentral:rRNA from 1 species
AUUGAACGCUGGCGGAAUGCUUUACACAUGCAAGUCGAACGGUAGAGGGGGCAACCCCUUGAGAGUGGCGAACGGGUGAGUAAUAUAUCGGAACGUGCCCAGUCGUGGGGAUAACGUAGCGAAAGCUACGCUAAUACCGCAUACGUCCUACGGGAGAAAGCAGGGGACCUUCGGGCCUUGCGCUAUCAGAUGAGCCUAGGUCGGAUUAGCUAGUAGGUGAGGUAAUGGCUCACCUAGGCGACGAUCCGUAACUGGUCUGAGAGGAUGAUCAGUCACACUGGAACUGAGACACGGUCCAGACUCCUACGGGAGGCAGCAGUGGGGAAUUUUGGACAAUGGGCGCAAGCCUGAUCCAGCAAUGCCGCGUGCAGGAUGAAGGCCUUCGGUU